CGCCAUGGUGAGAGAAUUCCGCCGCCGGCACCCUGACAAGUUUGGUAGGUCGCCAGGUGGCUCCCAUUAGAGGGGGGAUACUGUCAGGAUCUGACGGCGCCCUGACCGGUCGACCUGCCAGUGUGUGUAUAUCUGUGUGCGUGUGUAUGUGUCUCUCCUACCGCCCUGUCUUCCCCUCCGGCUCCGCUGUGAUGUGUUACGAGGUAACCUAGCAACAGGCUACCUCCGACCCGGAAGUGCUGUCGCCCGGAGCUGCCGCACCUGCAGUCAAUCCACCAGCUGCUGCCAAUCAACUACCAUCUUCAGCAGGGCUACUUAAUGGUGUGGCUGAGCGACAGACAGCGCUGGAGUAUUGCACUAAGCCUGGGAUUGACGGAGGAUUUACGGACACUAAGGAAGCACUUGGAGGAGAGACGGGCACUCACUACCACACACGGGCUUACACGGAAGGAGGGACGCACUAUCACCAUUGUUGCACAUUUGAACUGUUGUCACCUUGCUGCACUGUAAAUAAAUGCACUGUCAUUAUUUCUGA